CUGCACGUUGCCUUCCGGGCUUUUCUGAAGUUAAUCUAGUGAAGGUGAAUACCCCAAUGCAUGUGCUAAACUUCGCCGUUUAGUGUUGCAGUUUAGACUUUUCUCCUUUACACGGCUGAUCUGUGUCAAAUCAACGGCUACAUCU